UACGUAGGGCGCAAGCGUUGUCCGGAAUUAUUGGGCGUAAAGAGCUCGUAGGCGGUUUGUCGCGUCUGCUGUGAAAACCUAAGGCUCAACCUUGGGCUUGCAGUGGGUACGGCCAGACUAGAGUGCGGUAGGGGUGACUGGAAUUCCUGGUGUAGCGGUGGAAUGCGCAGAUAUCAGGAGGAACACCGAUGGCGAAGGCAGGUCACUGGGCCGCAACUGACGCUGAGGAGCGAAAGCAUGGGGAGCGAACAGG
rnacentral:rRNA from 1 species